rnacentral:misc_RNA from 1 species
CUGCCCUCAAGCACGGCUUGUGUGUUGGGCCCCCGUCCCCCUCUCCCGGGGGACGGGCCCGAAAGGCAGCGGCGGCACCGCGUCCGGUCCUCGAGCGUAUGGGGCUUUGUCACCUGCUCUGUAGGCCCGGCCGGCGCCAGCCGACACCCAACUUUAUUUUUCUAA